AUUUCCGGCUAACAUUUUUCUCUUACCGUAUAUAUAUAAUAUAUAUAUAUAUAUAUAUAUAUAUACCUAUUUACGUAUCCAUUUGAUCUACGAAUCUACGGUUAUAUAAACAUUCGCGAUGUCGCUGUUGGAGCCGGAAGCGUUUGAUUUGCCGGCGAAAUAUCCGUCGGAAGCAGCUCAGAGGAGGUGGAGAGAUGCUGUUUCUCUCGUUAAGAAUCGCCGGCGUCGGUUCCGAUAUGCUCCGAAUCUCGAAAAACGUGAAGAAGCUAAAGAGCUUAUGGAGAAAACCAGAGAAAAGAUUCGAGUUGGUUUCAUGGCUUAUAUGGCAGCACUCAAGUUCAUUGAUGCUGGUGAUCAUGGUAGGCCUUCUGACCAGGUCAGAGAAGAUAUAGGGGCUGAACUGGCAAAAGACUUGCCAGAAGAAGCUCGAGAUGCUGGUUUUGGAAUUAACCCUGAUAAACUUGCAUCUAUAGUUGGUUCCUAUGAUAUAAAAACCUUAAAGAAACUUGGAGGUGUUGAAGGGCUUGCAGGUAAAUUGAGAGUCACAUCAAACGAAGGAGUCAAAUCUAGUGAUGUACCUGUAAGACAAAAUAUAUAUGGAUCAAACGAAUUCACCGAGAAACCUUUUAGAAGUUUUUGGACAUUUGUGUGGGAGGCUCUGCAUGAUUUAACUCUCGUCAUCCUGAUAGUUUGUGCUGUUGUUUCCAUUGGUGUCGGACUUGCUACUGAAGGGUGGCCAAAAGGAACAUAUGAUGGUUUAGGAAUUCUACUCAGCAUAUUCUUGGUAGUCUUUGUUACUGCAGUUAGUGACUAUAGGCAGUCGUUGCAGUUCAGGGAUUUGGAUAAGGAGAAGAAAAAGAUAUCCAUCCAGGUCACAAGAGAUGGAUCAAGGCAGAAGGUUUCCAUUUAUGACUUGGUGGUUGGUGAUGUAGUUCACUUAUCUAUUGGAGAUCUUGUUCCGGCUGAUGGAAUAUUCAUAUCAGGAUAUAGCUUGCUAAUUGAUCAAUCGAGUUUGUCUGGUGAGAGUGUACCAGUAAGCAUAUAUGAAAAAAGACCCUUUCUUCUAUCAGGAACCAAAGUACAAGAUGGUUCAGCUAAGAUGCUAGUGACCACUGUUGGUAUGAGAACUGAAUGGGGUAAGCUUAUGGAAACUCUUAGCGAGGGAGGAGAAGAUGAGACUCCUCUACAAGUUAAGCUGAAUGGUGUUGCCACUAUUAUUGGAAAGAUAGGGCUGGGAUUUGCUGUGGUGACAUUUCUUGUGUUAAUAGUCAGAUUUAUGGUGGAUAAAGCUACUCACCAUCAAUUCACCAAAUGGUCUUCCAGUGAUGCAUUAACUCUUCUAAAUUACUUUGCCACCGCUGUAACUAUAAUCGUUGUUGCAGUUCCUGAAGGACUACCUCUGGCUGUCACAUUGAGCCUUGCAUUUGCAAUGAAAAAGUUAAUGGAUAAUAAAGCAUUAGUGAGGCAUCUUUCUGCUUGUGAGACAAUGGGUUCAGCAUCUUGCAUCUGCACGGAUAAGACAGGAACACUAACAACAAACCAUAUGGUAGUAAAUAAAAUAUGGAUUUGCGGAAAGGCUAAAAAGGUAGAAAAUGGUGCAGGUGGAGAUGCAAUAACGGAUAUAUCAGAAAGUGCACUGGACUUUCUUUUGCAGGCAAUAUUUCAUAAUACAGGAGCUGAGGUGGUUAAAGACAAGGAUGGAAAGAAAUAUGUUCUGGGUACACCCACAGAAUCUGCAAUAUUAGAAUACGGAUUACUUCUUGGUGAUAUUGAUGAUAAAAAAAGGGAUUGUAAUAUGCUGAAGGUUGAACCGUUCAAUUCAGCAAAGAAAAGAAUGUCAGUGCUUGUUGCUCUUCCUGAUGGCAAUACCCGUGCUUUCUGCAAGGGUGCAUCUGAGAUAGUUUUGAAAAUGUGUGACAGGUUUAUUGAUUCCAAUGGUGAAAUUGUUGAUAUGUCAGAAGAACAUGUUACAAACAUCAUGGGUGUCAUUAAGGAAUUUGCUGAUGGCGCCUUGCGUACUCUUUGCUUGGCUUUCAAGGAUAUCGAAGAUGGUUAUCAAGAAAAUAAUAUCCCCGAUAAUGGCUACACAUUGGUUGCAGUAGUUGGAAUCAAAGAUCCAGUUCUCCCUGGGGUUAAAGAGGCAGUUAAAACUUGUUUAGCUGCUGGAAUUACUGUAAGGAUGGUCACAGGGGACAAUAUUAAUACGGCCAUAGCUAUUGCUAAAGAAUGUGGUAUACUAACUGCUGAUGGUUUGGCCAUUGAAGGCCCAGAAUUUCGCAACAAAAGUCCUGAUGAAAUGAGGCAAAUACUUCCUAGAAUUCAGGUUAUGGCUCGAUCAUCCCCUACAGACAAGCAUGUGCUGGUAAAGAAUUUAAGAGGCAUGUUUAGAGAAGUUGUCGCAGUUACUGGUGAUGGCACAAAUGAUGCCCCUGCUCUGCAUGAGUCAGAUAUUGGACUGGCCAUGGGUAUAGCAGGAACAGAGGUUGCAAAAGAAAGUGCUGAUAUUAUAGUGCUUGAUGACAACUUCAGGACAAUUGUGAAUGUGGCUAAAUGGGGCCGUUCUGUAUAUAUAAACAUUCAAAAAUUCGUGCAAUUCCAGUUGACUGUCAAUGUUGUGGCUCUGAUGAUCAAUUUUAUUUCUGCAUGCGCCUCAGGAUCUGCUCCUCUCACUGCUGUUCAGCUGCUUUGGGUCAACCUUAUCAUGGAUACUUUAGGUGCAUUGGCACUGGCCACUGAACCGCCCCAUGAAGGACUAAUGAGUCGGCCUCCUGUUGGAAGGGAUGUGAGUUUCAUUACAAAGACAAUGUGGAGAAACAUAAUAGGACACAGUAUCUACCAGCUGGCUAUACUCUUAACCUUCAACUUUGCCGGAAAGCAGAUUUUGAAACUUGAAGGUUCAGAUGCUACAAAAAUCCAGAAUACCUUCAUUUUUAACACCUUUGUGUUUUGUCAGGUGUUCAACGAAAUAAACAGUCGUGAUAUGCAGAAGAUAAACAUUUUCCGUGGCAUUUUUAGCAGCUGGAUUUUCUUAGGAGUCAUGUUUGCUACAGUUGUUUUCCAAGUUAUCAUCGUCGAGUUCUUAGGCACUUUUGCCAGCACUACACCACUAAGCUGGCAACUAUGGCUGAUCAGUGUCUUGAUUGGUGCUGCAAGCUUGAUCAUUGCUGUUAUUUUGAAGUUGAUCCCUGUCGAAAAGGAGACUUCUAAGCACCAUGACGGCUAUGAUCUAAUACCAAGUGGUCCAGAACUUGCCUAGGAGUGUGGUAAUCAAAUGCAUAAGAGAUAUAUGGUUUGCUUGGUCGAACUUCGGAUGCUACUAGGCCUGUUUGAGCCUUUGAGGGUAUGUGACACCUCACAAGUUGACUCGUGCUGAGCUCGAAGAUUUUCCUUUGGAUUGUUACAACGCUCGUCGAACGGUUCAAGUAGAAGUGAAUAGGUAAGAAGUAGAAAGACUCAUAUCAAUCCAUCUCCAUAGGAGACAAUAUGAGCAAAAGACAGAAAUCCCUAAAUCCCGCAAAAAAGAACUCACUCCGGAGGGAUUGAGGGGGUAUUCAAAAAGGGGAGCUUUAAAGGGUGUGCCAAAGGCCAAAAUGUCACUUAUUAUGGACUAGAGGGAGUACUGUACUAGGUUUGGACUACAAAACUGAAAACGCUACUCCCUCCGGUCGAUAAUAAGUGACUUUUUGGCCUCUUUAUUUUGAUCCAAAAUAAGUGUCCUUUACAUGACAAGUGAGACUUGCUCAGUUGGUAAAAGUACCUCUACCUACGACCGUUAGGUCCUGGGUCCGAGUCACGCUGGAGGGGAAGUGUGGAAACACUAUAGAUCCUCCUAAUUUGGGAGAGGUUUUAAAAAAAAAG